rnacentral:rRNA from 1 species
GAGUACGACCGCAAGGUUGAAACUCAAAGGAAUUGACGGGGCCGCACAAGCGGUGGAGCAUGUGGUUUAAUUCGAAGCUACGCGAAGAACCUUACCAGGUCUUGACAUCUUCUGCCAAUCUUGGAGAUAAGACGUUCCCUUCGGGGACAGAAUGACAGGUGGUGCAUGGUUGUCGUCAGCUCGUGUCGUGAGAUGUUGGGUUAAGUCCCGCAACGAGCGCAACCCUUAUUAUCAGUUGCCAGCAUUCAGUUGGGCACUCUGGUGAGACUGCCGGUGACAAACCGGAGGAAGGUGGGGAUGACGUCAAAUCAUCAUGCCCCUUAUGACCUGGGCUACACACGUGCUACAAUGGACAGUACAAUGAGCAGCGACACGGCGACGUGAAGCGAAUCUCAUAAAGCUGUUCUCAGUUCGGAUUGUAGGCUGCAACUCGCCUACAUGAAGCCGGAAUCGCUAGUAAUCGCGGAUCAGCACGCCGCGGUGAAUACGUUCCCGGGCCUUGUACACACCGCCCGUCACACCACGAAAGUUUGUAACACCCAAAGUCGGUGAGGUAACCUUCGGGAGCCAGCCGCCUAAGGUGGGAUAGAUGAUUGGGGUGAAGUCGUAACAAGGUAACCA